UACGUAGGUGGCAAGCGUUGUCCGGAUUUACUGGGCGUAAAGAGCGCGCAGGCGGUCGGAUCAGUCGAAUGUGAAAGCCCCCGGCUCAACUGGGGAGGGUCAUUCGAUACUGUCCGACUCGAAGGCAGGAGAGGGAAGCGGAAUUCCCGGUGUAGUGGUGAAAUGCGUAGAUAUCGGGAGGAACACCAGUGGCGAAGGCGGCUUUCUGGGCCGUAACUGACGCUGAGGAGCGAAAGCGUGGGGAGCGAACAGG
rnacentral:rRNA from 1 species